GAGUUUGAUCAUGGCUCAGAUUGAACGCUGGCGGCAGGCCUAACACAUGCAAGUCGAACGGUAACAGAAAGCAGCUUGCUGCUUUGCUGACGAGUGGCGGACGGGUGAGUAAUGUCUGGGAAACUGCCUGAUGGAGGGGGAUAACUACUGGAAACGGUGGCUAAUACCGCAUAACGUCGCAAGACCAAAGAGGGGGACCUUCGGGCCUCUUGCCAUCAGAUGUGCCCAGAUGGGAUUAGCUAGUUGGUGAGGUAACGGCUCACCAAGGCGACGAUCCCUAGCUGGUCUGAGAGGAUGACCAGCCACACUGGAACUGAGACACGGUCCAGACUCCUACGGGAGGCAGCAGUGGGGAAUAUUGCACAAUGGGCGCAAGCCUGAUGCAGCCAUGCCGCGUGUAUGAAGAAGGCCUUCGGGUUGUAAAGUACUUUCAGCGGGGAGGAAGGUGUUGUGGUUAAUAACCGCAGCAAUUGACGUUACCCGCAGAAGAAGCACCGGCUAACUCCGUGCCAGCAGCCGCGGUAAUACGGAGGGUGCAAGCGUUAAUCGGAAUUACUGGGCGUAAAGCGCACGCAGGCGGUCUGUCAAGUCGGAUGUGAAAUCCCCGGGCUCAACCUGGGAACUGCAUUCGAAACUGGCAGGCUUGAGUCUUGUAGAGGGGGGUAGAAUUCCAGGUGUAGCGGUGAAAUGCGUAGAGAUCUGGAGGAAUACCGGUGGCGAAGGCGGCCCCCUGGACAAAGACUGACGCUCAGGUGCGAAAGCGUGGGGAGCAAACAGGAUUAGAUACCCUGGUAGUCCACGCCGUAAACGAUGUCUACUUGGAGGUUGUGCCCUUGAGGCGUGGCUUCCGGAGCUAACGCGUUAAGUAGACCGCCUGGGGAGUACGGCCGCAAGGUUAAAACUCAAAUGAAUUGACGGGGGCCCGCACAAGCGGUGGAGCAUGUGGUUUAAUUCGAUGCAACGCGAAGAACCUUACCUGGUCUUGACAUCCACGGAAGUUUUCAGAGAUGAGAAUGUGCCUUCGGGAACCGUGAGACAGGUGCUGCAUGGCUGUCGUCAGCUCGUGUUGUGAAAUGUUGGGUUAAGUCCCGCAACGAGCGCAACCC
rnacentral:rRNA from 1 species